rnacentral:rRNA from 1 species
UUUCUUUUAUGUUAAAGGGUACGGAUGCAUGUUUCACUCUGUGAUUCACAUCUUCCUUUAAUAUGAAAUAUUUUGUGAUAUCUUGUAUUUAGAAGAUUCGUUUAAUCAUUUAUUUGGUUAUUAUGGAGAUUCUAGUACAUUUUAAGGUAUUGCAUCGUUUACUGUGAAAAAAUCAAAGCGUUCAAAGCAGGCUUUAUGCUCUCUGAAUGUCUCAGCAUGGAAUAAUAAAAUAGGUCUCAUCCUCAUUUUGUUGGUUUGCAAGGAAGAGAAAUGAUUAACAGGGACAGUUGGGGGUAUUCGUAUUAGAUUGUCAGAGGUGAAAUUCUUGGAUUUAUUUAAGACGAACAACCGCGAAAGCAUUUACCAAGGAUGUUUUCAUUAAUCAAGAACGAAAGUUUGGGGAUCGAAGAUGAUUAGAUACCAUCGUAGUCUAAACCAUAAACUAUGCCGACUCGGGAUUGUUAAUAGUUACUAAAUGACAUUAGCAGCACCGUACGCGAAAGCAUAAGUCUUUGGGUUCUGGGGGGAGUAUGGUCGCAAGGCUGAAACUUAAAGGAAUUGACGGAAGGGCACCAUCAGGCGUGGAGCCUGCGGCUCAAUUUGACCCAACUCGGGAAAACUUAGCAGGGCAGGACAAAAGUAGGAUUGACAGAUUGAGAGCUCUUUCUUGAUUCUUUGGAUGGUGGUGCAUGGCCGUUUUUAGUUGGUGGUGUGAAUUGUCUGAUUAAUUCCGUUAACGAACGAGACCUCAACCUACUAAAUAGUAGAACCAUUCUUACGGAUGGGGACUGACUUCUUAGAGGGACUUUUCGCUUUUAGCGGAAGGAAGUUUGAGGCAACAACAGGUCUGUGAUGCCCUUAGAUGUCCUGCGCCGCACGCGCGCUACAAUGAGCGGAUCAAUGGGCACUUCCUUAGUCGAAAGGCUUGGGUAAUCCUGAAAACCCGCUCGUGAUGGGGCUAGAUUAUUGCAAUUAUUAAUCUUCAACGAGGAAUGCCUAGUAAACGCAAGUCAUCAUCUUGCAUUGAAUACAUCCCUGCCCUUUGUACACACCGCCCGUCGCAUCUACCGAUGAAUUCUGCGGUGAAGUCUCGGGAACUUCUUUUGGUUUCUUUCUCCGGAAAAAAACCUAGAGAGGUGAACUUGCCUAAACCUUAGCAUUUAGAGGAAGAU